rnacentral:lncRNA from 12 species
GGUCCCUGGGAAGCCGCCCGGGGUGGGGCCGUGUCACGUGCCUGCGGCCGCAGCUCAGGCCCAAUAAGGGGUCGUCGCGCUCUAUAGGAGGAAAUUAACGCCACCAGUGACCCAGGCAGCUGCAUAUGUUGGCAUGAUUGAUGAGAUCUGCUACAGUCAAGCAAGCAGCCCUGGGUGACCAGUUUACCCUUCCCCGCUAGGGUUCCAGCUGCCAGUUGCCCCCAUUCUGUGACAGCUUCUCCUUCUCCUCACCUUGUCAUCAAGCCAAGAUUGUACACUGUAGGAGAACAGAAAAUCUGAAGUUUCAGAGAGUAGAUUCAAAGAAUUUGUCACUUGAUCCAGAACCUGUUUCAAACUGGUAAACUAGAAGUUGAUAUGAC